UACGGGGGGGGCAAGCGUUGUUCGGAAUUACUGGGCGUAAAGGGCUCGUAGGCGGCCAACUAAGUCGGAUGUGAAAUCCCCAGGCUCAACCUGGGAACUGCAUCCGAUACUGGAUGGCUUGAAUUCGGGAGAGGGAUGCAGAAUUCCAGGUGUAGCGGUGAAAUGCGUAGAUAUCUGGAGGAAUACCGGUGGCGAAGGCGGCAUCCUGGACCGACAUUGACGCUGAGGAGCGAAAGCCAGGGGAGCGAUCCGG
rnacentral:rRNA from 1 species